rnacentral:rRNA from 1 species
CGGUAAUUCCAGCUCCAAUAGCGUAUACUAAAGUUGUUGCAGUUAAAAAGCUCGUAGUUGGAUUUCUGCGGGGACGGAGCGGCCGGACGCAACUUGCGUCUCGAGCUAGCGCUUUCCCCACAUCCUGCCGCGAACCGUGCUACCAUUAGCUUGGUGGCGCUGGGGAUCGGCUCGAUUACUUUGAGAAAAAUAGAGUGUUCAAAGCAGGCCACACGCCUUGAAUAAGUUAGCAUGGAAUAAUGAUUAAGGACUUCGGUUCUAUUUUGUUGGUGUUCGGGACUGAAGUAAUGAUUGAUAGGGACAGUUGGGGCGGUCUGUAUUCCAAAGCGAGAGGUGAAAUUCUUAGACCUUCGGAAGACAAACAGCUGCGAAAGCGUUCCGCAAGGAUGUUCCCUUUGAUCAAGAACGAAAGUUGGGGGAUCGAAGACGAUCAGAUACCGUCGUAGUCUCAACUAUAAACUAUACCAGCUAGGGAUCGGCCAACGUUUAAUUUAUCGACUUGGUCGGCACCUUAUGAGAAAUCAAAGCAUCUGGGUUCCGGGGGGAGUAUGGUCGCAAGGCUGAAACUUAAAGGAAUUGACGGAAGGGCACCACCAGCCGUGGAGCCUGUGGCUUAAUUUGACUCAACACGGGAAAACUUACCAGGUCCAGACAUAGGAAGGAUUGACAGAUUGAUAGCUCUUUCUUGAUUCUGUGGGUGGUGGUGCAUGGCCGUUUUUAGUCGGUGGAUGUGAUCUGUCUGCUUAAUUGCGUUAACGGACGAGACCCCAGCCUGCUAAAUAGCGCGGCCGAGCUUUGCUCGGUGCGAGCUUCUUAGAGGGACCAUGAUGCGCGAUAGCACAAGGAAGUUUGGGGCAACAACAGGUCUGUGAUGCCCUUAGAUGUUCUGGGCCGCGCACGGGCUACACUGGCGCCUGCAACGAGCAUAUCAGCUGGCCCGAGAGGGUCUUGGCUAAUCUUUGGAACCGGCGCCGUGCUUGGGAUUGACCAUUGCAAUUGUUGGUCAUGCAACGAGGAAUGCCUUGUAAACGCGAGUCAUCAGCUCGCAUUGAAUACGUCCCUGCCCUUUGUACACACCGCCCGUCGCUCCUACCGAUGAAUGUUCCGAUGAAAUUUUCGGAGAGCACCAGAGAACGGGGCUCCGCCUUGCAGAUCUGGAGGCUCAAAGUCACUUAAAUCUGAACAUUUCGAGGAAGGAGAAGUCGUAACAAGGUAGCCG